ACCGUGUCAAGUAGCCAUCAGCAAUUUAGCAUCAUCAGCAGAUUCAGUUUCAGAUUCAGUUCCUAUUAUAUCGUGAUGAGAAUCUCCUCUACUUGAAACUUGAAACGACCCUGGUCUCCCAAUAGCAAUCCAUGCUUGCUACAUUUUAAAAAUGUUUACUGAUCUCCCACCACCCAUAUUGCUUUCAAUGACAUGGGCACUUAAAGGAGUUGUACAUGGACCUAAAUAUAAAAAAUUAGAAAGAAAAUUUCCCAAGGAAUUUAAUGUGAAGAACUAAAAAAACUGCCCUUCAUCUCAUGGAAGUAAAAUGGAGGUCAGAGAAUGUGCGGAAUGAGUAUUGGUUACUGUCACAUUUCUUUCCAACAUCUACUUUGUUAACUCUGGAGCACAUUUGAUUACUUUUGUAAUUCCCAACAUAAAGACAGUUUUAUCCAUCAAGAGGCUGGAGGACUGUAGAAAUGAAGAAUUCUUCCUACCCCUUUGGCCUGUGGUAAAAUGAUGCACAAUUGUAAUGUCUACUUCUUCAAAGAAGGAUAAACACUUAUUAUCUACAACAAUGUUGAUAAUGCCAUUAUCAUAAAACUUCGAAGUCUAGCAUCUUCAGCUGAUUCGUAGGUUGAAAUUCCGCGAAGUCUUCACACGUAUUCUACAGUUUAAGUACUGACAGGUGACAUGUAAAGUUGAAUUUAUGCGUGGUGAUGACACAAACUUAUGGAGAUUCGCUGGCAGAAAGUUGGGCAUGACCUCCGAUGUUCGAAGGUCCGAAAAGUGAUGGGCAUACUACCACAUCAAGAUUAUUUUCCGUCGUGUCUAAGAUGUCGCUAGUUAUAUUUCUUGCUUCAAGCAUCAUUUGUUGAAAAACAGUAAUGGUCCAGAGAUCUCGAAGCAAACUUGUGAAAACGAAUUUAAUCUCUCGUACUUUUGCUUUUUGUACCAGUAGUCGUGCGGCAAAAAGCACGUAGCAAACGUAAGGCAGAAAGUUUCGGGGAUCAUUCGUGUAUAUUAAGGAUUUCGAUUUCGUUAAAGAUGACUCACUGCUGGCGAAUAUCAAGACUAUUCUGAAACAUUCCACAUGAUUCCUCGACUGCAUCUGAUUGUUAGCGAUGUGGAUGAAAUCGUCAUUUCGAUAAACCAGCACAGUGACUUCGAGCCAAAUGUUAUCGGCUUUUCCGUUAAUCCUUUGCUUAAACUCACGGAAUCUGAUCUCAUCGAACAUUUUCUUUUUGGUUUUUUUUUUUCUCAAAAGAUAAGUUCUGGUCAAAUCUCCCUAUACCAACAGUUGAGAGAGGACAUCAAAAACUGUGCAGAUUUAGACGUUUACCGGCAUGUCUUGGAUGUGUCGGGCAAGGCAGAUGGAAAUUGGCGAAUUUUUCGUGAUUUUAUGGUCAAUCUGAAACAAUGACAAACUGCAUUUCAUUUUACAGCAAAGAAGAGAUUGGUUUGUUGAUAGCCGUAGCCGAACGUUUCCUUGAUGUAGUUCGCGAUGUCGGAUUCCAAGUAAACUAUGAUGUUCUUUCAGCACUCACUUUACGCCAAAUGCGAAAAGACGGCACGCUAGAUACUACGUUUCGGAGAUUUCUUGUCGGCUGUCUUUCACUUCACCGUAGAAUGUGGUAUCAUUAUGUAUAAAAACUACUGAGGAGGAAUUCCGCCUUAUAUAAAAGGUUUUAUUGUCAAUUGAAUCUAUAUCUUCAUCUCUUUGCUAUUCUAAUAGCGAGGUAGGCGAUCUUGAGAAGUAAUCCGUAACUGUCCCGUGCAUCACUUGCGGCCUCGGUAUUACGGCCAGUAAUGCAAUCUGACACAAGGAGCCAUGUCCCUCGGCUCAAUCUCCCAAACGUCAUAAAAGCCGACGAUGUUAUGUGACAUAGCAACAUCAGUAACCGAAGAUGCUGCAAGCCACUUCAUCUUGUGUCCGGAGCAUUGGCAAGAUCCUAAGAAUUAGGUCAAUGACACUUAUGUAUGCGUAUAUCCUUUAGUACGGGAAGUAUUUGAAGAAACUGGAGAAUCCUAUUUUAUUCACAAACAGAAGUCUGCAGCGUAACUAGGAAAGAAGAAAUCCAAAUGGAAAAAGUACGGCAGUGGCUUGAAGUUGAUUAUUUAUUCUCAAAUGAACGACAGAAUUUGACUGCCGUGACUCAGCGAGCUGGAUUUUUACGAGUUAAGACUUAAGUCUACUUCCAACCAGGAAUUGAUGCAGCAGCUAAUACUCCGGACACACUGCUGAAAGACCACACACACACGGCAGAAACCGGCGAGAUCAUUGCAGCCAAUAAAAACGCCUUUAAAAAACAAACACAUGUGUACAUAUACAAUUUCCCUAGUUUUUUGCUGUUAUAUACGACUGCCCAUUGAUUCUCUGGUGUCAUUUGUCCCAUGUCUUUGAUAUUGAGCAAUUCCUUUUACAACUCGCGUUGGUUGUAAAUUAGGAUAAAAGAUGGCGUGACUGCGCCUCUGCCUUUGUUUGUAGCGAGUGAAAUCUAUGUUCGAAUAUUUGUGAACUAUGUUACAUUCCGGUGAUAAGUUUGAUAAAAUUAAAUGGUGUGAUUUCAACUGUUGAGAGUUUUUCAUUGAUUCUUUCCUGUGUUUUGGAGUGAGAAAAAUCAAGUGGAUUAUUUUGUGUGCAACGGGUAAACUUGUGAUCAGCAAUGUCAGCUGCCAGAUCCAAACUUUUACUUUUAUAUUCCAAUCAUGCUAUUCUAUUGCACGUUGAGAGAAGUAGUUGGUGAAAUCUAAAUAGCAAAAGAUACUAACCGUGAGGAAAGUUUUGAUGAGAAAAGUGCACCACAUAUUGUGUUGCAAACCAUUAACCAUAACAAUUUCAACAAUCUUCUCGUCAUUUCUACUAAGCCUACCAAGUGGCAGGAUUUUGAGUUACUGGCUGAUGUAUCAAAAAUGAAAAAAAUGCUGCCCUCGAAGAAAGAUCAUCAGCAAUGCAAAAUCAAUGGAUUGGAAUACCUCAUUUCAUUCUAUAAUCUUUUCCCACUCAUCAUCUCAUCCUCCUUUUAUUUUUACUUUAACAACCAAAACAUGUCUUCGCCUCGCCCGUCGCCCAGUCUUGGCUUCAAACGUUGCCACAUCUUCGCUUCGCCCGUCGUCCCGUCUUCGUUUCGCCCGUCGUCCCGUCUUCGUUUCGCCCGUCGCCCAGUCUUGGCUUCACCCGUUGCCACAUCUUCGCUUCGCCCGUCGUCCCGUCUUCGUUUCGCCCGUCGCCCCGUCUUCGUUUCGCCCGUCGCCCUGUCUUCGCUUCGCCCGUCACCCCGUCUUCACUCCGCCCGUCACCCCGUCUUCGCUUCGCCCGUCGUCCCGUCUUCGCCUCGCCCGUCACCCUGUUUUCACUUCGCCCCGUCAUCGCCUCGUCUUUGUGGUAUCAUUGUAUUUUUUAAUGUGUAAUUGUGUAGUGUUAAUUAACCCGUUGGCUGCCACCCACUUUGAUCCCCUUUUUUUUUUAGCUUGUUAGGGUCCGGCAGCGCUGUUCUGCCCAAUGGUCUAUAUGCCAUGGGUGGGACAGUUGCACAAGCCGUGUGGCUCAAAGUCGAUCGUCGAGGCAAUGCACCAGUAGGGAAUUCCCCCUUGUCGAUGUGGUGGUGGUUGCUUGGGGUGUGCAUUCCCAUAACGGCUUCCAUCAUCAUGUCAGCCCGGACUUCUCUUCGGACAAGUCCCUCUUUGUCGUAAUCCUUUUGAUCACGAUGUAGCUAGAGUAGAUAUGUAGUGGCGUGGCAGCCAACGGGUUAGUUUUAUGUAUGUAUGUAUUUUUUGUAUUGUAUUGUAUUAUGAAAUGUAAAUAUUAGUGGUGGAAA
rnacentral:lncRNA from 1 species